rfam:Oryza sativa (indica cultivar-group) chromosome 7, whole genome shotgun sequence.
AAAAAAACAAACACUGGGUUUCCGUAUCCAACGUUUGACUGACUAUCUUAUAUAAAUUUUUUUAUAAUUAGUAUUUUCAUUGUUGUUAGAUGAUGAAAUAUGAUUAAUACUUUAUGCAUGACUUGUCUUUUUAAUUUUUUUCAUAAUUUUUUCAAAUAAGACGGACGGUCAACGUUGGACAUGGAAACUCAGGGUUUGUCUUUUU